rnacentral:ribozyme from 1 species
UGCCCAGCAACUCCUAUCCCUACCUCCUCGUGGUACCGGUCGGAAACUAUGAGCAACCUUACCCUACGUCUCCACUAGACAGAAAUGUCUUGCCAUUUUGCUGCCAGAAAGAG